GGGCGGCUGGCCUAAUGGUAAGGCGUCUGAUUUCGGCGGGAGAUGUGCUCCAAACCCUUCUCAGAAGAUUGCAGGUUCGAUCCCUGCGUCGCUCA
rnacentral:tRNA from 1 species